CUUUUGCACAGGGCUUAUUGCCAACUGUGGAGAAGUUACCAACAGAGGAAUACGCCAAAGUGAUGGUCACCUUCACCAUUGCAUUCAUUGCUGUCCUCUUCCUGAAGGCCUAUAUGUUCAAAUGUGUCCUGAGCUGCUUUAAGUAUAUUAAAGCCAGCAAGAGAGAGGAGGUGAAAGUUGACCCACAAGCAGUUGAAAAGGCUGUGCUGCCAUCAUAUGAGGAAGUCUUAGAGCUGCCUUCCAAGGAAUCCCCACCACCCUACGUAGCAAUCUAAGCCUCACUCAUGGAGAGAAGAUGACAUCUGCAUUGCUGUUGGUGGCUCUUACUCCUUCUGUCAGAUAGUCAGUCUCAUUGAAAUGUCCUUACUUCAUAGCAAUAUCAUGCUUAUUACAGUCCAGCUCACUUUAUGAGCCUACAAAAGUGAUGGUGGCCCACUGGAGUUAGUGACUUGUUCUACACUGGCAGUUUUGACUUGAUAUUACCAAGUUGCAGUGCUAAUUUUAACUAACUUGGCACCAGGCACCACAGGGGUUCCCAUCACUGGCCUCUGACAUCUGGCUAAUGUGAAGUGUAGGCACUGGCCUGAAUCCCUUGUCAGCCUUGCUUUAUGCCAACAAGAUGCUGUUUCUCAUCUGUCUCACAUCUAAAUCAGCAGCUGAGACAUUUAAGAGGUGUAAUGGGGGGAAAACAAGCAAGAACCUUUUCACUGAGAUAGUCCAACCCUGAAGCUAUGCUAACCAGCAUCCUUUAACAAGGACCCUAUGGGAAAUGGAUCAGCAAAAGAAUUAAGAUUUCAAAUGAACGAUGAUGCAGCUCUCAUCCUGUCUGCUUAUGGUGAUGAUUAAUAGUGUGUUCUUCAGAGUAUGCCACAAGCUGGAAUUGUCACAGUACUGCUCUGCCAUUUUAUACCUGAGUGUUUGCCUUUUAUUUUGCUUUUAGUGUGACAUGAAAGAUGAGUUUCAAUUAAAAAAAUAGUUAAUGGCUUCAAUGCUUUGAUGUCUGAUUUCCGAAUGAUGCUGUCCUUGCUGCCUCAGAAUCAUAGAAAGGUUUGGGUUUGAAGGGACCUUAAAGCGCAUCUAGUUCACUUCUAACCAGAAGAGGGUUACUCAGUGUGAAUCAACUGAAUUGUGUUUAAAAUCCAUUUCCAUCUCUUUUAAAUGGUUCAAAUUCUACCUCCUAUUAAAUUCCCAUUAAUAAUUCUCUUGGCUAUUUAGUUACUGCAGCAGGGUUAAACAUUCCUUAAGCCUCUUGGUUUAAUUGACUAUGAUAAUACAGCUAAAGCAGCUAAAGUACGUUCAACACAGGGCUUGCAGUGAUGGGGUUUGUUUCAAUGUGUAUGAGGAGUCAAGCCUUCAGGUACACACCUGAUCUUCUAAAUGAACCUGAUGUUUUGUGGUUCUUAAGCCAGACGAUUCUUCUGCUUCAUGCAGUAUUUUCUCUCCAGGGCUCAGAACAGUUUGCUGUGAAAGCCUGGCUCAAAACCCCCUGAAAUCUGAUAAAAUGUAUAGAUUUAUUGUGAGUUUCCAGCCAGGUCAGGGGCUGAGUUCUAGACGGGAAGUGGUUUUGGUUUUCUGCAGUGUUAGAUGAUUUGGCCAACACAAACUGAGCACAAGCUGUCCCAAGCCUGUUAAUAAGUCAGACGAUGGUGCUAUCAAUGCUGGUUUUGAGACUGAUAAAAGACUCUUUUAAUAUGCUACUGUUAUACUGUUUUCUCUUCUCUAAACUGAUUUACUGAUGUUUCUCCAAUAUAGGCU
rnacentral:lncRNA from 1 species